GCUCCGGUAGCACAAUUGGUUAGUGCGUUGGACUUUUAACACCCAGUUAAAAACGAGGGUGAUCCAAAGGUUGCGGGUUCGACCCCCGCCUGGAGCG
rnacentral:tRNA from 1 species